UGCGUAGGGACCGAGCGUUGUCCGGAUUCAUUGGGCGUAAAGAGCUCGUAGGCGGCUGCUCAAGUCGAAUGUGAAAACUCGAGGCUCAACCUCGAGCCUGCAUUCGAUACUGGGCGGCUAGAGUCUGGUAGGGGGAUCUGGAAUUCCUGGUGUAGCGGUGGAAUGCGCAGAUAUCAGGAGGAACACCGGUGGCGAAGGCGGGAUCCUGGGCCAGUACUGACGCUGAGGAGCGAAAGCAUGGGGAGCGAACAGG
rnacentral:rRNA from 1 species